rnacentral:ncRNA from 1 species
AAAACGACUAUGAUGGGAAGAGUAAGCCGAUCCUCCUUAUCCCAGAGAGCCGGGGUAGCUGAAAACCGGCAUAAGCGAGCAGGCUGAACAUGGCCCCAGAGUCUUGCAGAUGAACAGCCACGGAAAUGACCGUGCCCAGUAGUUUGUGACGUCGGCCCACGUUACGGGCAGAGUCUGUUUCAGACUCACCAAGUCCGUUGUCCGCGAGGGGAACGGAGCAUUUGGGUGGUACCGCGAGUUAGAGCUCGCCCCAAUU